rnacentral:rRNA from 1 species
CCUACGAGAGGCAGCAGUGGGGAAUUUUGCGCAAUGCUCGUAAGAGUGACGCAGCGACGCCGCGUGAAUGCCGAAGGCCUUCGGGUCGUAAAGUUCUUUCGACAGGGAAGAAAAUGCCUAUAAGUAACUGUGUAUGUAUUGACGGUACCUGUAUAAGCAGCCCCGGCUAACUCCGUGCCAGCAGCCGCGGUAAUACGGAGGGGGCGAGCGUUGUUCGGAGUGACUGGGCGUAAAGAGCACGUAGGCGGUGUUGUAAGUCAUUAGGCAAAGACUAGAGCUCAACUUUAGUAAGGCUAGUGAUACUAUAAUACUAGAGUAUCAGAGAGGAUUGCAGAAUGCCUGGUGUAGCGGUGAAAUGCGUAGAUAUCAGGAGGAAUACCGUUAGCGAAGGCGGCAAUCUGGCUGGAAACUGACGCUGAGGUGCGAAAGCGUGGGUAGCAAACAGGAUUAGAUACCCCUGUAGUC